GAUUGCAAUAUAUGCCUGGACUUGUCCAAAGAACCUGUUGUGACUUGUUGUGGUCACUUGUUUUGCUGGGCCUGUCUUUAUCGAUGGUUGCAUCUCCAUUCGGAUGCAAAGGAAUGCCCUGUUUGUAAAGGAGAAGUGACUAUGAAGAAGAAUUUGUCGGAUGCAAAGGAAUGCCCUGUUUGUAAAGGGGAAGUGACUAUGAAGAACGUAAUCCCAAUUUAUGGCCGUGGAACUAAUGUACGGGAGCCUGAAGAGGAUUCAACUCUGAAAAUCCCUCAUAGGCCUCAAGCAAGACGUGUCGAGAGCUGGAGGCAAACUAUUCAAA
rnacentral:lncRNA from 1 species